AAUCCAAUUCGAAUCAAGAGCUAAGGUUUGCAACACCUGCUAGGAUGUUUAUCUUGCAAACAUGAUCUAAUCCAAUUAGACCCUUGAUAAGUUUCCUUGUGUGUGACCCAUUGGGUUCCAUACUUAGCCAGCAAUAGGUGUGAGUGCGAGUUGACCCAACUUGAUUAGAACUCUUCUAAUCGAUUUAAGUCCAAACUACGCGA
rnacentral:lncRNA from 1 species